UAGGGAAUAUUGCACAAUGGGCGAAAGCCUGAUGCAGCAACGCCGCGUGCGCGAUGAAGGUCUUCGGAUCGUAAAGCGCUUUUCUGCGAGAUGAGAAAGGACAGUAUCGUAGGAAUAAGUCUCGGCUAACUACGUGCCAGCAGCCGCGGUAACACGUAGGAGGCGAGCGUUAUCCGGAUUCACUGGGCGUAAAGCGCGUGCAGGCGGUUUGGUAAGUUGGGCGUGAAGGCUCCCGGCUCAACUGGGAGAGGUCGUUCAAUACUACCGAACUAGAGAACAGAAGAGGAAGAUGGAAUUCCCGGUGUAGUGGUGAAAUGCGUAGAUAUCGGGAGGAACACCAGUGGCGAAGGCGAUCUUCUGGUCUGUUUCUGACGCUCAGACGCGACAGCUAGGGGUAUAAACGGGAUUAGAGACCCCGGUAAUCCUAGCCGUAAACGAUGUGAACUUGGCGUCGGUGGCUUAAACACCAUCGGUGCCGAAGCAAACGCGAUAAG
rnacentral:rRNA from 1 species